UGUAAUUAGUUUCCAAUUCUGUUCCAAGACAUGAAGGAAAAUUGACUUCCCCUUCCCAAGCCGUCACCAAACCAAAGCAUAAAAUAAAGUGCUGUGGCUUUGAACGUGGAGUUGAGUGUUUCCACCGUAUUCUUCAGUGAGAGUUCAUGAGGGCACAGACCACUAACAAGCAGCGGAGGCAGCUUCUAGGCUAAGCUUAAAUUGGGCCUUCAAAUCUAAUCAAAAUUAGUCCCUGCUGAGAAGAAACCCAAUGUGGUGUGUCCGUUUGGAUCUGGAGUGCGGAGAGGCCCUCCUUGCUUUCCAGGGCCGUGAGCAGCAGGAAGCAUGUCAACCAUGGUAAACCAGAGGAUCGAGAAAUCAAAGAUUCCAGUCACUUGCCUGGAGUUUGAGCAUCUUCUGCAGCUGUGGGAGCGACGUUCAAAUCUUUGCUGCUCAAAGUGUGGGCUGCAGACCAGCGGCACUGACAUCACCUGGGUACUUGUUAAGAAAUACAGACUCGGGCUCCACCGAAG
rnacentral:lncRNA from 13 species